CUCAUACCGGGCCUUCAGGGCCACCACGGACCCAGGGCUGCUCUGGAGACUUCCCAAUGACUUACUCCGGCUCAAAUUGCUUCCGGUCUGAAAUCGUACCCUCUCAUCACUUCUCCUGAUCAGAUGCUCCAGAUUUCGACGGGCUGAGGUUUAGUGGUGCCGGAAACGCCAACGAGGAACAAGUGUUGUGGAAGCUCGUCUCCGCCCUGGAAUUCCAGAACGCGCGGAGCCUCGGGGGUCGAGCCGGAGCAGGAGGCGCCUUUCUGACCUCGCUGACAACAUGGUCACUCAAUAUUAACAACAGGCCAAUGGGAACUAUCAGCUCAUCCUUUGACCCCGCUUGACCGUCGCUGCUGCUCGGACCUGUUUUUGGGUGCGGGCGACACGCGCACGCGGCGCGCGGACGUCACAGGGCCGGCAGUCAUGGGUUUGGUCUGUGAGGGAGGACACGGCACGCAUCGUGACACAGAGGGCUGACUCAGCGCUGAUGCGCGUGUGCGUGUGAUUCACGCCGCCGCCGCCGCCGCUGGUGACGCUGCCCAACGUGGAACCGAGACAAGGUCAGGUCCUCUGUCCGUGUUGGUGAAUCCCUCCACUGAUCGCUGCUGGGCAGCGGAACGAGAGGACGCAAACCUAAAAGGAGCGAGAUGAACGCGUACGUACAGUAUUUAUCCUUCAGCUGACUUCACUUAUCAGAGGGGCGGCUGGAAAGAAGCCAAACAAACUUGGGGAAAGAGAGAAGCAGUGGUGCCGAGAUUACAGCGUAUUACACAAUCUGGUGUAUUUGACUGUAGUACCUGUAGUACCCGUAGUACAGUGGUCAUAGAAGCUGUUGUGUGGCUGCUGAAGUUUUGAUGCUAAUUAACUGUAGCAGUUUGCUCUGGAUACAUCACAGUGAAGAGUUUUACUUUACUCUUACUUUUACUUCAGUUGCAUGAUGGAAACUGCUUAGUGGGAGUUUAUGAGUCUAUGUGUGAUUAGGAAAGCGUGUCCUCUCCAGUGCUAAAGUCCAGGCACAUGCUGGCGGCUUCUCCCAACACAUGGCUGUGAUUUGCUCGUCCCUCUCUCCUGUGCGGAACGCUGAGCGUCCGUAUGUUCCGCCCGCAUCUGCAGGUGUGUGUGUGCGUGUGCGUGUGUGUGUGCGGGGGGAAACGUGCGUCCCUCGCAGCUGAGUGGGAGUGCCUUUGACCUAAGCCGUCCCCUCCCCGCUCCAUUUGAGUCUGCGCACGCCCCGCCCGCGUCGCCGCGCC